AGGGAAACAACAAGUGUAAGCAUGUAGUCUGUCCCGAGGAUUUUUACUGCUGUGAUUAUGGAAGAGGGUGCUGCAAGCAAUAUUCUUCUUACCGUACAUAUGAACAGUGGUGGUUUUGGGCGAUAAUACUAGUUGGAUGCUUGAUGUUUGGAGCUGGACUUUAUGGCAUCAUAAAGUGUAAAAGAUUGUAUUUUUACAGAAUUUCUUAUAGACAGAUCUAGAAUCUGCAGAACUCGGCAACUAUUUAUUAUUAAGUUCAAUAAUGGCUUAAAUAAUUUAUAAAUUAAUUUGGUCAAUGCAUUUUUGUGAAUAAAACUAUCACUUUAUAUGAUACUUGUGUAAAUGGUAAAGCGGUGACAGAUAUAUACAUGUAUCAAAUUCAACAGGGUUAAAAGUUAUUAAAACCAAGACUUUAAAAUCAAAUUUUUAUUUUUAUAAGAAUACAUGUGAAUUCCUCAUACUUUUAUUAUAUGUUUCAUUUCACAGUUUAAUGUUUUGAGUGCUUUAUUCCAGUCACUGUUUUUAAAUCAUUUUCAAAUUAAUGCGCAUGUUCACCAAAAUAAGAUUCAU